rnacentral:lncRNA from 1 species
GGGAACUCUGUACCAUGCUGGCGACCAGGUCUGCGGCUAAAUUGAAGUCGCCCUAUUUUCAUCCUAGGUGUGCGGUAGCUACAGUAGUACAUGCGCAAAACCCAAGUCGUUAACUGGACUUUAAAUUGAGGAUCUGGCCAUAAAACUAUUAACUGCUAAUCAAGUGGAAGACCACACACACACAUAAAUAAUACAGUAUUAUAACUGUAGCAUACCGUCGACUACACGUGACUGUGGAGAGCUUUAACUGUAUCCACCCGGGAGCCAGAGACCAAUCAAUGACGUGUUUCCGAAGCGUCGAUUUACCGACGUGUUUACAGACGGAAGAAGGAAAAACAACUUUAUAUCGGAGUUGUCUCGAGAUGGCUAUGCAUUUUCAUGGCAUAAGGCUAGUAAUCAUAUCAUUUCUCCAUUGAAUACAGACGGUCGACGUAAACAACCCUCGUCGAAUAUUCAAUGCUGGAUUACAAUAAUGAGAUGCAUCCACCAAUCCAAAGAAAGGAAAGGCGGAAGUUAGGCAGCCCGGUGAGUCGCUUUGUGGACAACGACUCCCAUCGUUAGGUCCGGAGAGACAUAUAUAAACCUGUCAGUAUAGCCAUAAUCUUUGAUAAUAAAAGUAAAUGAACAAAGAAGUAGACCAGACCCAGCUGCUAUUGCAUUUGGUGUCUAUAAGAGACAUCUCGUUAAGUAGACCGGAACUGACCUUUUUUGUUGUUGUUGUAAACGGCGAGUGAACCAUCUUAAUUUAUCCACCAUCUUUGGUGUGUUCAGGAGGAAGUGGAACAUGUAAACACACAACAAUGUCAGCCGUAGACCUAGUGCUCUGCAGCCAGACCUUACUUCUGCACAGUUAUCAAGCUAUAUCAGACCCAUAUCCAUCCAUACAGAACACUUGUCGGCUCUGCGGUCAAAAUCUGCUCAUCAAGGGGACAUUACAGGCAACACGAAGAAUAUUUGACAAGCCUAAAGCCUCAAAGGAAAAAAGGUUAUGUGAUAGAUUCCUUGCCACCGGUUUAGUGCUAACUGAAGCACCAGGGGUGAAAUCGGGCAGAAUUUGUGCAAAGUGUUAUAGACUAUUUCUCAGGAUAGAGGAAUCUGUAAGCGUUUUAAAGAAAUGGCAAUCGGAGCAUCAGACACCGGGGACGAGCAAGAAGAGGAAGCGUGAACGGGAACCGAGUCCAUCUGAAACAGACAAGGGAGCCAAGAAGACAUCUGAACGGGAACCGAGUCCAUCUGGAACAGACAAGGGAGCCAAGAAGACAUCUGAACGGGAACCGAGUCCAUCUGGAACAGACAAGGGAACCAAGAAGACAUCUGAACGGGAACCGAGUCCAUCUGAGACAGACCGGGCUGCCAAGAAGACAUGUCCUCCCUAUAAAAAGGUUCCCCCGAGGAGCAGUCUUGUCGAGGUUGUCAUAACAUACCCUAACCAAUUGGAUCCAAAGCUGAAAAAGAGGGUUGAGAAGGUUUCAUCCGAAUUUUCCGGAAUGGUUGAAAACUUGGCAAAAGGCAAAUUGACGACAUUUGUCAGGUUAGCCUUGACGAAUGAAACCAUGUGUCAAGAAAUCAGAAAGCAGAUGACACAGAAAAUAGAAGCAGAGGUCAAGGCAUAUGCAAGACCCUUAAAUUACCUGACUUGUGCUGAACCUUGCAUCUUGAGUAGUACCUCGUUGGAGAAUAUGAAGUGUUUUUCAUACAAAGCGUUGGAUGAUGAGUUGUCCAGGAAGACACCAUGGCUUUAUACCACCAUCAAUACUGCAACAGGUGGAUCCACCAUCCAUAACUGUGUAGCCGCCUCUGUGGCCCUGAGAGGUAGAAACCCCAGGCUUUCUGCACUGGCCUAUGUCAUCAACUCCACACUGACCCAAGGAGGGGUUAAGCCCAUUUUCAAAAGACUCUCUAAGAUGGGCAUAACAACCACACACAGCAAUGUCCUAAAUAAGCAGAAAGAGAUGAAGGCAGCUGGGUACAACAUCAACAUCAAAUGCUGGAGGGAGGACUGUGAGCUGUUUUUCCAACAUAGUAUCAACGGUGAAGUCUGCCCACGACCACCUCCUACUGCUAAACCGACAGAGGAGACCGGAAGAGAGGAAGAAGAGGAGGAGGACAAGGGUCCAGUGGAGGAUGAGUUUGAAAUAGAGCUGGACUGGGGUCCACUGGAGGAAGAGGGUGAAGGAGAUGAGGAAGAGUGGAGUCCACUGUCAGAAGAGACAGAAAGAGAGGAGGACAGAGGAUCUACAGUGGAGGAAGAGAGAGGAGAGGAGAAAGCCCGGGGUUCCCUGCUAGGAGAGACAGAAAGAGAGGAAGAGGGACAAACAUUAUCAGCACUAGAAGGAAAUGACAGACAGGAAGAGGAUUCUGAUUCAACAGUGGAUUCAGAGACUGAAUACUUUGGAUUAAACCUCACCUGUGAGAGUGAUUAGAGAAGUAGCCUAACAAAGAGUCUGUAGAUUACAGAUCUAGACCUGGGCUACAUCUCUGAACAACAAGGGACUAAUCAUAGAAUACAUCCCAAAUGGCACCCUAUUCCCUUUAUAGUGCACUACUUUUGACCAGGGCCAUUUGGGACAGAAUCAUACAGUGAAAUUACUCAUGUUGAGGGGGGUCAGGAUGUGAGGUCUACUGUUCCUGGUGUGUUGAGGGGGUCAGGAUGUGAGGUCUACUGUUCCUGGUGUAUUGAGGGGUCAGGAUGUGAGGUCUACUGUUCCUGGUGUAUUGAGGGGGUCAGGAUGUGAGGUCUACUGUUCCUGGUGUAUUGAGGGGGUCAGGAUGUGAGGUCUACUGUUCCUGGUGUGUUGAGGGGGUCAGGAUGUGAGGUCUACUGUUCCUGGUGUGUUGAGGGGUCAGGAUGUGAGGUCUACUGUUCCUGGUGUAUUGAGGGGUCAGGAUGUGAGGUCUACUGUUCCUGGUGUGUUGAGGGGGUCAGGAUGUGAGGUCUACUGUUCCUGGUGUAUUGAGGGGUCAGGAUGUGAGGUCUACUGUUCCUGGUGUGUUGAGGGGGUCAGGAUGUGAGGUCUACUGUUCCUGGUGUAUUGAGGGGUCAGGAUGUGAGGUCUACUGUUCCUGGUGUGUUGAGGGGUCAGGAUGUGAGGUCUACUGUUCCUGGUGUAUUGAGGGGUCAGGAUGUGAGGUCUACUGUUCCUGGUGUAUUGAGGGGUCAGGAUGUGAGGUCUACUGUUCCUGGUGUGUUGAGGGGGUCAGGAUGUGAGGUCUACUGUUCCUGGUGUGUUGAGGGGUCAGGAUGUGAGGUCUACUGUUCCUGGUGUAUUGAGGGGUCAGGAUGUGAGGUCUACUGUUCCUGGUGUGUUGAGGGGGUCAGGAUGUGAGGUCUACUGUUCCUGGUGUGUUGAGGGGUCAGGAUGUGAGGUCUACUGUUCCUGGUGUAUUGAGGGGGUCAGGAUGUGAGGUCUACUGUUCCUGGUGUGUUGAGGGGGUCAGGAUGUGAGGUCUACUGUUCCUGGUGUGUUGAGGGGGUCAGGAUGUGAGGUCUACUGUUCCUGGUGUGUUGAGGGGGUCAGGAUGUGAGGUCUACUGUUCCUGGUGUAUUGAGGGGGUCAGGAUGUGAGGUCUACUGUUCCUGGUGUAUUGAGGGGUCAGGAUGUGAGGUCUACUGUUCCUGGUGUGUUGAGGGGUCAGGAUGUGAGGUCUACUGUUCCUGGUGUGUUGAGGGGUCAGGAUGUGAGCUCUACUGUUCCUGGUGUGUUGAGGGGGUCAGGAUGUGAGUACAGUGUGUGUUGAGGGGGUCAGGAUGUGAGUACAGUAUAUUGAGGGGUCAGGAUGUGAGUACAGUGUGUUGAGGGGGUCAGGAUGUGAGUACAGUAUAUUGAGGGGUCAGGAUGUGAGUACAGUGUGUAUUGAGGGGUCAGGAUGUGAGUACAGUGUGUAUUGAGGGGUCAGGAUGUGAGUACAGUGUGUAUUGAGGGGUCAGGAUGUGAGUACAGUGUGUUGAGGGGGUCAGGAUGUGAGUACAGUAUAUUGAGGGGUCAGGAUGUGAGUACAGUGUGUUGAGGGGGUCAGGAUGUGAGUACAGUGUGUAUUGAGGGGUCAGGAUGUGAGUACAGUGUGUAUUGAGGGGUCAGGAUGUGAGUACAGUGUAUUGAGGGGUCAGGAUGUGAGUACAGUGUGUAUUGAGGGGUCAGGAUGUGAGUACAGUGUGUUUACAACGGUAUUAAACAGACCAGCUCCAUUUAGAUGUUCAAUUCAAACUUUAUUUUUUGUUAUUUGGUACUUCUCCAAAUGGCACCCUAUUCCCUAUAUAGGGUUCUGGUCAGAAGGAAUGCACUGAAUGAAUAGGGUGUCAUUUGUGACGAAACCCUUGAAUAGAAAAAUGAAUAAAAAAUAAACCUAUAUCCAGUAUUCCAUAGAGGGGUCUGUUCAUGUCUGGGUUAUUGUUCAGGAAACAGAGGUCUUACCUGAACCUGUCCAAUAAGAACACAGGUUUUUGUUUUGCUACAUCGUGUUCUACUGAAUAGGACCCUGUUACCACGACACUAUCAAUGAUGUCACGGUCACAUGUUUGGCCUGUAGCCCUCAGGGACAGGUCUGUGUUCUUGUGGCUGGGACAGAUGGCGUCUCCAGGUUAGGGUAUGGUAAGGUGCCUGGGAACCACAAACAUCCACUUUGUUAUGUCCAUGUUGUUAUAAUUAUAUUUAAUUUGGGAUUUGUUCUCAAUUAAUUAUCUGGGUAAAUAAAGGUUAGACGAACACAAGAUUUGACCUGUCUUUAUCAUGAUGGACACCAGGCAGCCACCCAUACAGCCUUGUAAAUGAUGAUGGCAGACAUUUUGUUUUCCAAAACUCACCAAAUGUCUGCAUCUCCCACAGCACGAUGCCAAAUGCCCACACGUCCCCCUUGAAGCUGUAAUAGUUGGUUUUCUGACCGGCCAGGUCACAGUGCACCCACCACCUGUAAGUACAGGUCAGAGAUCAGGACUAAUAAAUGUUCUGUAGCUGUGUGUAUGGGUUACUGUCUGUAAGAAAUGAUCGUAGGUCACAGUGCACCACCUGGAACACAGACCCCAGAUCAUUUACUGUCUGUCUAAUGUCAGGUCCCAGACCAGUAAUGCAGGUGGCAGUUGGUGUCAUAAGGAAUGAGUGGGAGGAGGAGGAAACUGGCUUCCAUUUUGGAUCGGAGGUGUUCCAUGGCCAGUGUGAUGUGAUAAGAGGUGAUGGUGAGCAGGCUCUGUAGCUCAGGGUCAGGGGUCAUCUCGUCUCUGUGGGUCUGAAGGAAGCGCCAACACACAGGACUCUGGGAGAACUACACACAGGACUCUGGGAGAUCGACACACAGGACUCUGGGAGAACGACACACAGGGCUCUGGGAGAUCGACACACAGGACUCUGGGAGAACGACACACAGGACUCUGGGAGAACGACACACAGGACUCUGGGAGAUCGACACACAGGACUCUGGGAGAUCAACACACAGGACUCUGGGAGAUCAACACACAGGACUCUGGGAGAUCACCACAUAACACAGAAUUCAUGUUGUUGUAGUAAAUAUGUUAUAGAUGUGCCACUCGUUUCUAUUCCUUAUGGAGACUAAUAUAAAUAAUGCCGACUCCCAAAGUGGUAGAUUAUCACACAGUAUUUUUUUCUUAUUUUGGUCAUGGGAGGAUGGUCAGUUUCUCAUUUGGGUCUCAGGCUGAAAAAGUUUAAGAACCCCAAAUGUAGGGAAUAGGCUGCCAUUUGAGAUACAAACUGUGUGACCUUACCCCCACUAAAGCAGUGUCUCGUUGCCCCCUCAGUCUCAAUGGACAUUUCAUCUCUGGUCAUUAUGGGUAUAAGAUUAUCAAGGAGUGGACUGGUGGUAGCCUAGCCUAGCGUUCCCUCUUUGAUGAGCUGGUGGUAGCCUAGCCUAGUGUUCCCUCUGAUCUGGUGGUAGCGUAGCCUAGCGUUCCCUCUGUGGUGUUCCCUCUUUGAUGAGCUGGUGGUAGCGUAGCCUAGCGUUCCCUCUUUGGUGGUCUGGUGGUAGCCUAGCCUAGUGUUCCCUCUUUGGUGAUCUGGUGGUAGCCUAGCCUAGUGUUCCCUCUUUGGUGAUCUGGUGGUAGCGUAGCCUAGCGUUCCCUCUUUGGUGAUCUGGUGGUAGCGUAGCCUAGCGUUCCCUCUUUGGUGAUCUGGUGGUAGCCUAGCCUAGCGUUCCCUCUUUGGUGAUCUGGUGGUAGCGUAGCCUAG